rnacentral:rRNA from 1 species
GAUGAACGCUAGCGGCAGGCUUAACACAUGCAAGUCGAGGGGUAGAGGAAGCUUGCUUCCUUGAGACCGGCGCACGGGUGCGUAACGCGUAUACAAUCUACCUUUUACAGAGGGAUAGCCCAGAGAAAUUUGGAUUAAUACCUCAUAGUAUUUUCGAAUCGCAUGGUUUGAUUAUUAAAGUUCCAACGGUAAAAGAUGAGUAUGCGUCCCAUUAGCUAGAUGGUAAGGUAACGGCUUACCAUGGCAAUGAUGGGUAGGGGUCCUGAGAGGGAGAUCCCCCACACUGGUACUGAGACACGGACCAGACUCCUACGGGAGGCAGCAGUGAGGAAUAUUGGUCAAUGGGCGCAAGCCUGAACCAGCCAUGCCGCGUGCAGGAAGACGGUCCUAUGGAUUGAAACUGCUUUUAUACAGGAAGAAACCCUCCCAGUGUGGGAGCUUGACGGUACUGUAGGAAUAAAGGAUCGGCUAAACUCCGUGCCAGCAGCCGCGUAAAGUG